GAUUGCAGAUCCCGUGACCAUCGAGUUUUUGAACGCAAGUUGCGCCCGAAGCCGUCUCGGCGGUGGAGGGCACGUCUGCCUGGGUGUCAAGAAACGUCGCCAAACGUCCCUCUCCGCACCCUCCCGCCCGAGGGGGGAAGCAUCGAGGGGGCGGGCGGAUAUUGGCCUCCCGUGCGCAGUUGCUCGCGGUUGGCCCAAAAGAGAGUACCCCGGCGAGGCAGCCACGGCGUGCGGUGGCAGAAAGCGUAUGCUCUCCUCGAACACCGUCGUGGGCCGACCUCGUGGGACGGGAAAGACUAAGGCCCCGAUGCGAAGUCGUGUUUCGCGAAGCGACCCCAGGUCAGGCGGGAGCACCCGCUGAGUUUAAGCAUAUCAAUAAGCGGAGGAA
rnacentral:rRNA from 1 species